AGCUAGGAUGGUGUAAUGGUUUGAGUGUUGGACUAUGGCUCUGAAGACCAGAGUUCAAAUCCCUGCUUGGCCA